GAGUUUGAUCAUGGCUCAGAUUGAACGCUGGCGGCAGGCCUAACACAUGCAAGUCGAGCGGAUGACGGGAGCUUGCUCCUUGAUUCAGCGGCGGACGGGUGAGUAAUGCCUAGGAAUCUGCCUGGUAGUGGGGGACAACGUUUCGAAAGGAACGCUAAUACCGCAUACGUCCUACGGGAGAAAGCAGGGGACCUUCGGGCCUUGCGCUAUCAGAUGAGCCUAGGUCGGAUUAGCUAGUUGGUGGGGUAAUGGCUCACCAAGGCGACGAUCCGUAACUGGUCUGAGAGGAUGAUCAGUCACACUGGAACUGAGACACGGUCCAGACUCCUACGGGAGGCAGCAGUGGGGAAUAUUGGACAAUGGGCGAAAGCCUGAUCCAGCCAUGCCGCGUGUGUGAAGAAGGUCUUCGGAUUGUAAAGCACUUUAAGUUGGGAGGAAGGGCAGUAAGUUAAUACCUUGCUGUUUUGACGUUACCGACAGAAUAAGCACCGGCUAACUCUGUGCCAGCCGCC
rnacentral:rRNA from 1 species